CCUACGGGGGGCAGCAGUGGGGAAUAUUGGACAAUGGGGGGAACCCUGAUCCAGCCAUGCCGCGUGUGUGAAGAAGGCCCUCGGGUUGUAAAGCACUUUCAGUGAGGAAGAACGCCUGGUGGUUAAUACCCAUCAGGAAAGACAUCACUCACAGAAGAAGCACCGGCUAACUCCGUGCCAGCAGCCGCGGUAAUACGGAGGGUGCGAGCGUUAAUCGGAAUUACUGGGCGUAAAGCGCGCGUAGGUGGCUUGAUAAGCCGGUUGUGAAAGCCCCGGGCUCAACCUGGGAACGGCAUCCGGAACUGUCAAGCUAGAGUGCAGGAGAGGAAGGUAGAAUUCCCGGUGUAGCGGUGAAAUGCGUAGAGAUCGGGAGGAAUACCAGUGGCGAAGGCGGCCUUCUGGACUGACACUGACACUGAGGUGCGAAAGCGUGGGUAGCAAACAGGAUUAGAUACCCGGUAGUC
rnacentral:rRNA from 1 species